rnacentral:rRNA from 1 species
AGUGAACGCUGGCGGUAGGCCUAACACAUGCAAGUCGAACGGCAGCACAGUAAGAGCUUGCUCUUACGGGUAGCGAGUGGCGGACGGGUGAGGAAUACAUCGGAAUCUACUUUUUCGUGGGGGAUAACGUAGGGAAACUUACGCUAAUACCGCAUACGACCUACGGGUGAAAGCAGGGGAUCUUCGGACCUUGCGCGAUUGAAUGAGCCGAUGUCGGAUUAGCUAGUUGGCGGGGUAAAGGCCCACCAAGGCGACGAUCCGUAGCUGGUCUGAGGGGAUGAUCAGCCACACUGGAACUGAGACACGGUCCAGACUCCUACGGGAGGCAGCAGUGGGGAAUAUUGGACAAUGGGCGCAAGCCUGAUCCAGCCAUACCGCGUGGGUGAAGAAGGCCUUCGGGUUGUAAAGCCCUUUUGUUGGGAAAGAAAAGCAGCAGGUUAAUACCCCGCUGUUCUGACGGUACCCAAAGAAUAAGCACCGGCUAACUUCGUG